AACGCUGGCGGCACGCCUAACACAUGCAAGUCGAACGGAGAUUGAGAGCUUGCUCUUGAAUCUUAGUGGCGGACGGGUGAGUAACACGUGAGCAACCUGCCUCUGAGAGAGGGAUAGCUUCUGGAAACGGAUGGUAAUACCUCAUAACAUAGCUGGACCGCAUGAUCCGGUUAUCAAAGAUUUAUCACUCAGAGAUGGGCUCGCGUCUGAUUAGCUAGUUGGUGAGGUAACGGCCCACCAAGGCGACGAUCAGUAGCCGGACUGAGAGGUUGAACGGCCACAUUGGGACUGAGACACGGCCCAGACUCCUACGGGAGGCAGCAGUGAGGGAUAUUGCACAAUGGAGGAAACUCUGAUGCAGCGAUGCCGCGUGGAGGAAGAAGGUUUUUGGAUUGUAAACUCCUGUUUCGAGGGACGAUAAUGACGGUACCUCGGGAGGAAGCUCCGGCUAACUACGUGCCAGCCGCCGC
rnacentral:rRNA from 1 species